UAAAUUUAAAUUAAAAUAUAGUUUUAGAUGAAUAGUAUUUUUUUAUGAGGUAUAAAUAUAUAUAAACAAAUAUAGAUUUAUUAUAUAAUGGAAUUUGAUCCUGGUUCUGGGUGAACGCUGACAGAGCGCCUAACACAUGCAAGUUGAAUGUAUACUGUAUAGUAUAAAUAGCGAACGGGUGAGUAAUAUUUAAAAAUCUACCUAUUAAAAUAAACUUAAAAUGUUUUGAAAAGGUUUUUGAUAAUCGUUAAUAGAUGAGUUUAAAGUAGAAUUAGGUAGUUGGUAAGGUAAUGGCUUACCAAGCCGAGAAUUCUUAGCUGAUCUGGGAGGAUGCAAGCCACAUGAGAACUGAGAUAAGGUCUUAACUUUAGUUAAAGGCAGCAGUGAGGAAUUUUGGACAAUGGGCGAAAGCUUGAUCCAGCGACUCUGUAAUUAGGAUUAGCUUAAGUGCGGAAGCCUAAUGGGUGUCAACUAAUCUUUUUAAAUACAUAAUGACAUGAUUUAAAAAUGUUUAGCCCUGGCUAAUUUCGUGCCAGCAGCCGCGGUAAGACGAGGAGGGCAAGCGUUAUCCUUCGUGACUGGGCGUAAAGGGUAUGUAGACGGUUUGCUAAGUUUUUUGUAAAAGGUAAUGUCAAGCAUGAGCAAGCAAGAAAUACUAGUAAGCUAGAAUAUAUUGAAGUUAAUGGUAUUAUUAUAGUCGGGUUGGAACAUGUUAUUAUAAUAAGACAGCCGUAAAUGAAGAUAAUUAGCUGAUAUAUUAUUGACGUUGAGAUACGAAGGCAUGGGGAGCAACCGAGAUUAGAGACCUCGUUAGUCCAUGCAGUAAAAUAUGAAUGUUAAUUUGUUGGACAUUUUUAAAAUGAUUCAAUUUUGUAGCUAACGCAUUAAACAUUCCGCCUGGGGAAUACGAUCGCAAGAUUGAAACUUAAAGGAAUUGACGGGGGCUUAAAUACACGGUGGAGCAUGGGGUUUAAUUCGAUAAUCCGCGCAAAACCUUACCAGUUCUAGACAUGCAAUUUAUAAAAAAUUUUUUUUUAUCGAAAAAUUUUGUAAAUUAUCAGGUGUUGCAUGGCUGUCGUAAGUUCAGGUGUCGUGAGAUGGUAGUUUAAUUACUAGAUACGAGCGCAACCCUUAUUUAAUGUUAUAUUAGAUUAAAGACAGAAGGUGGCUCGCCAAAGGCGAGGCCUUAGGAAGGAGAGGAUUACGGUAAGUCCGCAUGGCCCUUACGAACUGGGCUAUAUCCGUGCUACAAUAGAUACGACAAAGAGUUGCAAUAAUGUGAAUUUAAGCUAAUCUCUUUAAAAAUAUCUUUAGUACAGAUUGUUUUCUGAAAUUCGAAAACAUGAAGGAGAAAUCGUCAGUAAUCGUGAAUCAGCACGUCACGGUGAACAUGUAAAUGGGCUUUGUACACACCGCCCGUCACGUCUCGAAAGUUCGUCUUAUUGGAAGUGGUAAUCAGAAUUAGAUUUAAAUUUUUUUUAAAUUUGCUAAUAAUGCUCUUAUUCCGAAUAUAAGGCUAAUAAUUGAGAUGAAGUCGUAACAAGGUAGUCGUACGGGAACGUGCGGCUGGACGGAAAACUAA
rnacentral:rRNA from 1 species